UACGGGGGGGGCAAGCGUUGUUCGGAAUUACUGGGCGUAAAGGGCUCGUAGGCGGCCAACUAAGUCCGACGUGAAAUCCCUCGGCUUAACCGGGGAACUGCGUCUGAUACUGGAUGGCUUGAGUUUGGGAGAGGGAUGCGGAAUUCCAGGUGUAGCGGUGAAAUGCGUAGAUAUCUGGAGGAAUACCGGUGGCGAAGGCGGCAUCCUGGACCGACAUUGACGCUGAGGAGCGAAAGCUAGGGGAGCAAACGGG
rnacentral:rRNA from 1 species